AGUCAUAUGCUUGUCUCAAAGAUUAAGCCAUGCAUGUCUCAGUACAAGCCAAAUUAAGGUGAAACCGCGAAAGGCUCAUUAAAUCAGUUAUGGUUCCUUAGAUCGUACCACAAUUACUUGGAUAACUGUGGUAAUUCUAGAGCUAAUACAUGCAAACAGAGCUCCGACCGGAGACGGAAGGAGCGCUUUUAUUAGAUCAAAACCAAUCGGUGGUCGGAUUUAUCCGCCAUCGUACACUUUGGUGACUCUGAAUAACUUUAUGCUGAUCGCACGGUCUCGCACCGGCGACGCAUCUUUCAAAUGUCUGCCUUAUCAACUGUCGAUGGUAGGUUCUGCGCCUACCAUGGUUGUAACGGGUAACGGGGAAUCAGGGUUCGAUUCCGGAGAGGGAGCCUGAGAAACGGCUACCACAUCCAAGGAAGGCAGCAGGCGCGCAAAUUACCCACUCCCAGCACGGGGAGGUAGUGACGAAAAAUAACGAUACGGGACUCAUCCGAGGCCCCGUAAUCGGAAUGAGUACACUCUAAACCCUUUAACGAGGAUCAAUUGGAGGGCAAGUCUGGUGCCAGCAGCCGCGGUAAUUCCAGCUCCAAUAGCGUAU
rnacentral:rRNA from 1 species